AGAAUCUUGACAACAAUCCAACCAAAAAUUCCUCCGAGUAAGAAUAAAAGGGUGUUUUUUUUACCAUGAGAUCAUGUCCUCAAGUGUGACUGUCUGAGCCAGAUUUGCAAACAUGAGAGCCGAGAUCGAAAUAUCGGGUCAAGAUAUUGGUUUUACCUUGUUCAUGGAAUUGCGAGCUUCGACAGGGAAGAGCUUGCAUCUAUCA